GUAACGGCAGCACCGCAACAAGCCGUCCUGGAGAGAGAGAGAGAGCGUAGCCGCAGCAAAAACACUUUCCUUACCUGUUCGAUUUUUGUUGUUACCUGUUGGACAAUACUGAGAUCUGUCUGUUUCCAGAUGUGUUGUAAGUGUGUGUUUUUUUGUCCUGACACUCGCUGUUAAGUCAAUGAAAAAACGAGCCUCGUCUCAGCUGACUUCACCUCCUCAUGGCCCACAGCCAGACUCCACCACGACAGGACACCUUUGUAUGGAUCCUUGAAGCCUUCAUCCAUCCUGAUGCCCCUCAACCCUCGUCGAUCGGUGUCGUGUUUCAGACGAGUCACAUGGAACUCCGGCUUUGGAGAGUUUGGGAUGUUUUCUUUGUUGAGGGAGAAGAGGCCGCCCAGAAAUUGAGAUAGAAAGAGAGCAGAUUGAAUUUCUGCUGAAACAAGGGCAUAUAAUUGCUAAAUGUGCAGAACUACUGGGAUGCUCCGCAUCAUAUCUUUACAAAAAAUCCAAGAUCAUGGGUAUACCUGCCACAAGUAUGCGGUCUGCAAUAAAUGACACAGAGCUUGAACAUCAAGUGAGGCAACUUCAGUGCCAGUAUUCUAACUCUGGAAAUGAGAUGAUAAGAGACCUGUUGCGCACACAGGGUGUGUUCGUUACACGGUCCAGGGUGCGUGAGACAUUAGCUCGGGUAAAUCCUGCUGCUGCUGCAAGAAGAUGGAGCCAGACAGUUGCAAGGCGUGUUUAUCAUGUACCAUACCCCAUCAGUCUAUGGCACAUUGAUGGGAACAUGCGUCUCAUAAGGUUAUUAUUACCAGACCUGUCAUACUUUUUUAUAAUUGGAAAAGAUUUUCAACAAGUGUUACUCAAAUAACUCAAUAAUAUAAUCUUUUUCAAGUAUUUUUUUUGUAUCUGUCACGAAUAGGACAGGUGUGAACCCAUGCAGCAGGCAGACAGACAGGCAGGUGAUUUGAAGAAAACAAGGUUUAAUUAAUUAAACUGAAAUAAACACGCAAAAUGCAGAAGCACAGGAACAAACAGAAAGGUAAUGAAAACUAAACUAAAAGCGACGAACCAAAUCGGCCGUGGUGAGAAUUAAAUAAGAUACAGAACCAAGGGCGGACCCGAAGGCCAAGGAAAAACUAAACAUAAAUCAAAACUAACCUAAGAGGUAACUCACAAAAAGUCCAGCCAUCGGGAGACGGAGUCGGAGGGGGGCAGAGACUGAGAAGCAGACGGGGGAUUGGGUGCAAACGGAGCAGAGGUAAUUACAGGCGAGUCAGACACAAACAUCCAGGAAGUGGGAGAUGCAUAGCGGAGAAUAGUCCAAACGGAACAGACAGAGUCCAAGCAGGAUGGCUGACAGAGGAGCGCGUUCAUGAGCGGGGAGAGUAGUCCAAUGCUGCAGCGCUGAACAGAGUCUAGAGCCAGGCUUUAAGCAGCGCUGAUUAAAGAUUGCUGCUGGCUGCACACACCGCGCAGCCGCUCGUCAUGAAAUUAACGAGCCGGCUCAUUGCAUCAAGAAGGGUGUGACAGUAUCUUUUUUAGGUGGGGCUUUGUGACUCAUGGUGCUAUUGAUGGAUACUCCCGUCUGAUCAUGUACCUUAAUUGCAGCACGGACAACCGUGCCACAACAGUGCUUUCACAUUUUUUGAAAGCAACAUGCCUCUACAGUCUACCAUCAAGAGUCCGAUCUGACCAUGGUGGUGAAAACAUCCAUGUGGCUUUAUUCAUGCAUCUUGUUCAAGGACUUGAACACAGAGGUGUAAUAACUGGGGAAUCAGUGCACAAUCAGAGAAUUGAGUGCCUUUGGCGUGAUGUAUUUUUGCAUGUAUUGCAGCACUUUUACCUUUUGUUCUACGCCUUCGAGGACUUAGACAUCCUUAACCCAGAUAAUGAUGUCCACAGACAAGCACUACAGAUUGUUUAUCAUCCUGAGAUUCAAAACAGACUAGAGCACUUUAGACGUGCCUGGAACCUCCAUCCACUGCGAACAGAAAAUAAUCGCACACCAAAUCAGCUCUGGACAGAGGGCAUGCUUACAAACAUUGCGACAGAAAGCACGGCUGUCAACAAUGUUUUUGGGGAAAAUCCCUACAGCGAACAAAACAUUGACACCAUUCUAGAGCAGAAUGGAAUUCAAACACUGCCUGCUCUUGAUGAGGAAGAGUUCCCAGCUGUAAAUGUAGAACCACCUCAACUCAUCCUCACUCAGCAACAACAGAGAAAUGUGCAGAAUGCAAUUCAAGACAUUUCUGAUCCAAAGACAAAAUAUCAGUCUUGCUGUGCUGAGAUUAUCAGUAUUUUGCAAAUGUAAGUACACUCCAAUUCCAAGCUCAAAGCUAAAGUGUAUUGUUUGUAUCCAUUUCAUUCCAUAUUCAUUGCUAAAAUAUGUUUGGUGUGCAGCUAAAGCUGAUGAAUGAAAAGUAUGCUGGCUUUGAGAUUGGCAGUCAACCAGCUUUGGGAGUAGUUUUAAGCAUUUGAGGUCAACAGUAUUUUUUCAUUGUUGUUUUGUCAUGUGAUUCGUCUCCUUGAACUGUGUUACAGGUGGUUGGGUGUGUUGUCGAAAUGUAUGGCUAACAAACUAUUUGUACUGUUUCUAAAUUUACUUACUGUUUGUAUUUACUAACUUUUGGCGACUUGAGGGCUGAUGUUGAUCUGAUGAUGAGAAGGCAGUGCAGGUUUAAGCUCUGAGUAACAACAGCUGCAGUUGUCUGUAAAUUCUGUUGCUAUUACCAAGCUGUUUCUUGAUUGUUUUUGUAUGCACACAAAAACAUAUAGGCCUACAUGAAUGAAUUCACCAACAUAUUUGAUAACAGAUUUCAUACACAAAGAGCCAGGAAUUAAAGAAAUCAGUAUUUUCUGAAACCGCAUUCUGUUACUACACCACAUACAUUUACUGUUUUCAAUAAAAAGCACUUUUUUGUCUGCAAUUUCACGUCAUAAUUCUGGUGACAGUGGAGCAUGGUCCAGAGUUGGAUGCUUGUGGCUGAGGUGUGAACAGUUGGGGGGAGCUGCAUUGAAGAGGUACACACAAUAAAAUGUGUUCUGAAACACUA